rnacentral:sRNA from 1 species
AGAUGCCAGGGUCAAAAAUCAUAAACUACGUUGUGCUUGCACAUAAGUGGUUUUAUGACUUUAUGACUCGCCCCGAUAUGAGGGUACUGCGUGCCGGUGGCACGCGUUUAGCACCGACCGCAACGGAGUGUAGAACAAAGUGGGGCGUAUGCCUCACGAUAUCCGAAUUUGGGGCAGAAUUGUGGGGUGCUGCGUGCCAGUGGCACGCGUUUAGCACCGACCGAAGUGAAACGUAGAUGCGCAGCACGAAACAAUUCGCCAGGCAUCU